rnacentral:rRNA from 1 species
GACGUAGGAUGCGAGCGUUUAUUCGGAUUUAUUGGGCGUAAAGCGUGCGUAGGCGGCUAUUUAAGUCUGGUGUUAAAGCUAGGGGCUCAACCCCUGUGAUGCACUGGAUACUGGGUAGCUUGAGUGCGGUAGGGGAAGGUGGAAUUCCGAGUGUAGCGGUGAAAUGCGUAGAUAUUCGGAAGAACACCGGUGGCGAAGGCGACCUUCUGGGCCGCAACUGACGCUGAGGCACGAAAGCCUGGGGAGCGAACGGG